rnacentral:rRNA from 1 species
AUUGAACGCUGGCGGCAGGCCUAACACAUGCAAGUCGAACGGUAACAGGAAGAAGCUUGCUUCUUUGCUGACGAGUGGCGGACGGGUGAGUAAUGUCUGGGAAACUGCCUGAUGGAGGGGGAUAACUACUGGAAACGGUAGCUAAUACCGCAUAACGUCGCAAGACCAAAGAGGGGGACCUUCGGGCCUCUUGCCAUCGGAUGUGCCCAGAUGGGAUUAGCUAGUAGGUGGGGUAACGGCUCACCUAGGCGACGAUCCCCAGCUGGUCUGAGAGGAUGACCAGCCACACUGGAACUGAGACACGGUCCAGACUCCUAUGGGAGGCAGCAGUGGGGAAUAUUGCACAAUGGGCGCAAGCCUGAUGCAGCCAUGCCGCGUGUAUGAAGAAGGCCUUCGGGUUGUAAAGUACUUUCAGCGGGGAGGAAGGGAGUAAAGUUAAUACCUUUACUCAUUGACGUUACCCGCAGAAGAAGCACCGGCUAACUCCGUG